UACGAAGGGGGCUAGCGUUGUUCGGAAUUACUGGGCGUAAAGCGCACGUAGGCGGAUAUUUAAGUCAGGGGUGAAAUCCCGGGGCUCAACCCCGGAACUGCCUUUGAUACUGGGUAUCUAGAGUAUGGUAGAGGUAAGUGGAAUUCCGAGUGUAGAGGUGAAAUUCGUAGAUAUUCGGAGGAACACCAGUGGCGAAGGCGGCUUACUGGACCAUUACUGACGCUGAGGUGCGAAAGCGUGGGGAGCAAACAGG
rnacentral:rRNA from 2 species